GGACCCGUAGAUCAGUUGGAUAGAUCGUCAGAUUCCGAAUCUGAAGGCCGGAGGUUCGAAUCCUCUCGGGUCCACCA
rnacentral:tRNA from 3 species